GAGCUCUUAAAUCCACGGGACACCUGGGAACCCACCGUAGGCCUUCGGGCUUAUGCAUUUAUACUCUGUAUGUGUCAUAAAAUGUCAUGGGGCAUUAAAAACGCAAUUAAAUACAACUUUCAACAACGGAUCUCUUGGCUCUCGCAUCGAUGAAGAACGCAGCGAAAUGCGAUAAGUAAUGUGAAUUGCAGAUUUUCAGUGAAUCAUCGAAUCUUUGAACGCACCUUGCGCUCCUUGGUAUUCCGAGGAGCAUGCCUGUUUGAGUGUCAUUAAAUCAUCAACCCCACCGAUUUGUUUCGGCUUGGGGCUUGGACUUGGAGCGUGCUGGCGAAAGUCGGCUCCUCUUUAAAUGCAUCAGUGGAAAAAUGCACUUUUUUUUCCCCUUCACCGUGAUAAUCCUGUUGCGCUGUGUGUGGGUCGAAGGUGUUCCGCUUAUAAUCGUCCUUCGGACAAACAAACCCAUCUAUUUUUGACCUCAAAUCAGGUAGGACUACCCGCUGAACUGGAGCAUAUCAAU
rnacentral:rRNA from 1 species